GGGAUGGAGAACCCAGAUUCCUUUCUGAUAAUGAGAUAAGAGCCAAGGAUGACAAACUCACCCCAGCCGAUCUUCAUGUCGAACACUUGAUUUGAGCAUCUAAAAUUCAGGAUCUAAGCUGCAUUAUGCAACUUCUGAGUGCCAGAGCAAUAGGAGAAAGCACUCAGGAUUUCUGGGAAUAAGACACUGGAAACCACUGGGUCCUGAAUAACCCACUGAGGGCCACUCUGAGUUUUGCUUUACUUCUUUCCUCUCCUGUUUUUCUUUGGAAAUGGCUCAAGAAAAGUUUUUGGCAAGAAGCCUGAGAUGGUAGGAGGUAUGGACAUACCUUGGAGAUAUUGUGGGUUUGGUUCCAGACUAUCACAAUAAGUAUAUAUUGCAAUAAAGCAAGUCUAAUGAUUUUUUUUUUACUUCCCAGUGCAUAUAAAAGUUAUGUUUACACUAUUCUGUAGUUUAUUAAGCGUAACAUAGCGUUAUCUCUAAAAAACCCCAAUAUGCAUAAUUUAAUUUAAAAAUACUCCAUUGGGUUAAAAAAAAAAAACCACUAGUAAUAAUAACCAUCCCUUUCCAGAAAGUCAUCAGUUUUUUGCUGGUGGAGGGUCAUGCCUCUCUGUUGUUAGCUGCUGACUGAUCAGGAUGGUAGUUCCUGAAAGUUGGGGUAACCGUGACAAUUUCUUAAAAUAACACAACAAUGAAGUUUGCUGAAUUGAUUGAUUCCUCCUUUCACAAAUAAUUUUUCUGUAGCAUGUGAUUAUGCUUGAUAUCAUUUUAUCCACAGUAUAACUUCUUUCAAAUAUUAGCAAUAAAUAAGGUUUGUUUUC